AAAAAAAGAGAGCAGUCUCUCUAGGUGCAUGUGAGCUUUAGCUUGGUGUACCUUUUUGCUUGCACAUUAUUUCUAUUUUUUCCCAGGCAUGCUGAAACCAUUGGGACAUCCACGUUAUCAUCGGCAGUGGUCAUACUAUACUCAUGUGGAGGAGUGGCCCUUACCUACCUCACUGUCACCAUGAGUCUCGUUCAGCAUAUGUCCUGAGAAUGCUAGGCCAGCCCCAGCAGACCCCAGCUGGCCAGGUCCUGGGUGAAUCAGAUCUGGGACUCCUGCUUGAUGGUAACUCUGGACACCUGGGUUUGAGUGACGUUGUCAAUAGGAAUGUAAUGGUCCAUUUGACAGUAACAUGAUAAUGUGCCAGGCACAGUGCUGAGAGAGAAGACGCCACCACAACCCUCUUAAAGUUCAGAGAGAGCAUCAGAGGAAAACAAGAGGUCCACAGGGAGCUUCAAGGGAGACAAUGCUCACUGCCUUCAGAAUGGUUGCAGGGAACACCACCACCACCACCAGCUAACAUUUGCUAAGCAUUUUCUAUGCUCGAGUCAAUGCCAUUAGCAGGGUAGUGCCAGCAACAUGAUGCAAACUCACAGAUCCCGCUACUGGAUAGCGACAUAAAUCCGCAGGGGCGUCUUGGCAGCAGCAAAGGGCAGGGAACCUGAGAAGGAGGAGCUUGUCUCUAAAUCACGGCUGAGAUUAGCCCUGAGCUAACUGCUGCCAGUCCUCCUCUUUUUGCUGAGGAAGACUGGCCCUGAGCUAACAUCCGUGCCCAUCUUCCUCUAUUUUAUAUGUGGGACGCCUACCACAGCAUGGCUUGCCAAGGAUCCGAACCAGCAAACCCCAGGCCACAGAAGCAGAAUGUGCACACUUAACCACUGCUCCACUGGGCAGGAGCCUCCACUUUUCUAUUUUUAUUGAGGCAAUAAUGGUCAAAGGGCAACAUGAAGUCAUCUGUAAGAUGUCACGGUGCAAAUUGAGUUCAGUCUGAUAAUCAACUCAAGAAUAAAGAAACCUAAUUUCACAUGUUCAAGAAAGACUCUAGCUGAUCUCUAGCCCUGUGGAUACUAGAGCAAAUUUCCUGAUAUCACCUGUUGGUCACCCUUUGCCUCAUUAAACGACUGUAGAUCAAUGAGCAUGCAGAAUCAGGAGACAGUUUCGUCCCAGGAAGGAAAAUUGCAGUCCAACUUCAAAGCAACACACCAGACCUCAGACGAAAGUGUUCCAGUUUGUUACUUUGCACGACUGUGUGUUUCAAUUUAUUACACUGAUGACUUACCUUGUACUACUCUGUGUUCAAUUAUGUAUUUCCUGUUCUCAUUACAGACCUUCAAACGACCG
rnacentral:lncRNA from 1 species